rnacentral:rRNA from 1 species
CACGUAGGGGACGAGCGUUGUCCGGAUUCAUUGGGCGUAAAGCGCGCGUAGGCGGCUCGGAAAGUCGGUCGUGAAAUGCCGGGGCUCAACCCCGGGACUGCGUCCGAUACUUCCGGGCUGGAGGUAGGUAGGGGAGAUCGGAAUUCCUGGUGUAGCGGUGAAAUGCGCAGAUAUCAGGAGGAGCACCGGUGGCGAAGGCGGCACUCUGGGCCGGUACUGACGCUGAGGAGCGAAAGCGUGGGGAGCGAACAGG